rfam:Defluviimonas sp. 20V17 contig47, whole genome shotgun sequence.
GCGGAUGGCUGGACGGCCGCGUGCCCCGCGGGGCACGAGGAAAGUCCGGACUCCAUGAGACACUGGUGCCGGGUAACGCCCGGCCGGGGAAACCCGAGGGAAAGCGCCACAGAGAAGAGACCGCCUCUGCAUGCGGGGGUAAGGGUGAAACGGUGGGGUAAGAGCCCACCGCGGGCCUGGCAACAGGACCGGCACGGCAAGCCCCACCAGGAGCAAUGCCGAAUAGGGGCCCCACGCGGCAUGAUCCCCUCGGGGAUAUCACCGCAGGGACGUCUCAGCCCGGGGCCCGGGUUGGCAGCUAGAGCCUGUCGGUAACGGCAGGCGCAGAGGAAUGGCCGUCGAGGGGGUGCAAGCCCCUGAACAGAAUCCGGCUUACAGGCCAUCCGCGCAU